GGUCCUGACUUGCUCAAACGGGUCGAGCAUGGCGUUAACGUUGCCAGAGUUAUGGGUUCGAUUCCCACUGGGACCA